GUUGUAUGGUUAAGUGACUAAGCGUACACGGUGGAUGCCUUGGCAGUUGGAGGCGAUGAAGGACGUAUUAACUUGCGAUAAGCCUAGUCAAGCUAGUAAAAAGCACUUGAGACUAGGAUUUCCGAAUGGGGAAACCCACCUGCUUGCAGGUAUCGUUAACUGAAUACAUAGGUUAACGAGGCGAACGCGGAGAACUGAAACAUCUAAGUACCCGUAGGAAAAGAAAUCAACCGAGAUUCCGAAAGUAGCGGCGAGCGAAAUCGGAACAGCCCUUAAGCUUAUUAUGUGUUAAUGGAAGGCUCUGGAAAGUGCCACGAUACAGGGUGAUAGUCCCGUACAUGAAAAGACAUUUUAAGUGAAAUCGAGUAGGUCGGAGCACGUGAAACUUUGACUGAAUAUAGGUGGACCAUCAUCUAAGGCUAAAUACUCCCAACUGACCGAUAGUGAACCAGUACCGUGAGGGAAAGGCGAAAAGAACCCCUGUGAGGGGAGUGAAAUAGAACCUGAAACCGUGUACGUACAAGCAGUAGGAGCAGACUUGUUCUGUGACUGCGUACCUUUUGUAUAAUGGGUCAGCGACUUAUAUUUUGUAGCGAGGUUAACCGAUUAGGGUAGCCGUAGGGAAACCGAGUCUUAACUGGGCGAAUAGUUGCAAGGUAUAGACCCGAAACCCGGUGAUCUAGCCAUGGGCAGGUUGAAGGUUGAGUAACAUCAACUGGAGGACCGAACCCACUAACGUUGAAAAGUUAGGGGAUGACCUGUGGCUAGGAGUGAAAGGCUAAUCAAACCGGGAGAUAGCUGGUUCUCCCCGAAAUCUAUUUAGGUAGAGCCUCGGACGAAUACUUACGGGGGUAGAGCACUGUUAAGGCUAGGGGGUCAUCCCGACUUACCAACCCUUUGCAAACUCCGAAUACCGUAAAGUACUAUCCGGGAGACACACGGCGGGUGCUAACGUCCGUCGUGAAGAGGGAAACAACCCAGACCGCCAGCUAAGGUCCCAAAGUCAUAGUUAAGUGGGAAACGAUGUGGAAAGGCCCAGACAGCCAGGAGGUUGGCUUAGAAGCAGCCAUCCUUUAAAGAAAGCGUAAUAGCUCACUGGUCGAGUCGGUCUGCGCGGAAGAUGUAACGGGGCUAAACUAUGCACCGAAGCUGCGGAUUCAGAAUUUAUUCUGAGUGGUAGGGGAGCGUUCUGUAAGCCGUUGAAGGUGACCCGGGAGGGUUGCUGGAGGUAUCAGAAGUGCGAAUGCUGACAUGAGUAACGAUAAUGCGGGUGAAAAACCCGCACGCCGGAAGACCAAGGGUUCCUAUCCCAUGUUAAUCAGGGUAGGGUAAGUCGACCCCUAAGGCGAGGCCGAAAGGCGUAGUCGAUGGGAAACGGAUUAAUAUUUCCGUACUUGGUAUAAUUGCGAUGGGGGGACGGAGAAGGCUAAGCAAGCAUGGCGAUGGUUGUCCAUGUGAAAGUGAGUAGGGCGUUUGUUUAGGUAAAUCCGGACGAACAUUAAACCUGAGACACGAGACGAGUCACUACGGUG
rnacentral:rRNA from 1 species